CCAAUGAAGAGUUUGAUCCUGGCUCAGGAUAAACGCUGGCGGCGUGCCUUAUGCAUGCAAGUCGAACGAAGCCCCUCGCUUCGGCGGGGGUGACUGAGUGGCAAACGGCUGAGUAACGCGUAGGUGAUCUGUCCCGAGGAGGGGAA
rnacentral:rRNA from 1 species